GCUCCAAUAGCGUAUAUUAAAGUUGUUGCAGUUAAAAAGCCGUAGUUGAAUGUUAGGCUCGGCCAGACGGUAUUGCUUCAUUGCAGUCACUGUCUUGGGCGGGUCUUACCUUCUGGGGAACUAGUAUGCUCUUAAUUGAGUGUGCUAGGGAUCCAGGACUUUUUACUUUGAAAAAAUUAGAGUGUUUAAAGCAGGCCUUU
rnacentral:rRNA from 1 species